rnacentral:lncRNA from 1 species
GUUGCGUUCCUUUAUUAAUCAACUACUCUUGAUUUAUAGUUUGGUACCUGGGUUUUACUAUUGGUUCCCAUUUAUUUGGCAUCCUUGGUGGAAUGAGGCAUUCUGUUUCAAUCCCUUUUGCUUUCCUUUGUGCUAGUCUUUUGUUGUACUCUUUAAAAUAUUUGUCAGAAGAAGAAGAACAACAAGGUAAAAAACAGGUAUAGGCUAUACAAACCUAUUCAAGUGAGUUUGGUGUUCUUCCUGAUUCUGCAUCCAUUCAUUUGGACAAAUUUUGCCAUGAAUCAUUAAUAUAGUAAGACAAGGUUUUCAUACCAUCUGGUAUUUUUGUCUGAAGAUCUUGGCUUUGAUCCAAAGUGAGAGUUUUCUUUGGUUUUCUGUCCUACCAGGGGAUGCAGAUUACCAUAUCUGUGUUCAGAAAUGGCCAACUGUAAGACUGGGGACCUAAGACUCAAGAUGAAUAAGCAUUAUAUUCUUGCCAACAGUUGCAAGUUCUCAUGGGAUUAUCUGAGAAUAAAUAGUCUCCUUUUCAGCAGAAACUACUGCUUCUUAUAUGUGCAUUAGUAAUUCUUAACACUUCUCUUUCUAAAUUUCACUAACUAAGGAUGCUUUGGGCCUUCAGUGGCAACUCUGGGGACCAUUUGACUUGGACAAAAGUAUUCAUUUGAGAAGUGCCAUAGAAAAGUAAAGAAUAAGAUUUCUCAGGACCAUUUUGUCAGCAGUUUUGAUUGGUAUCCAGCCUUUUUUUUUUUUUUUUUUUUUUUUUUUUUGUCUUUUGUCUUUUGUCUUUUUGUUGUUGUUGUUGUUGUUGUUGCUAUUUCUUGGGCCGCUCCUGCGGCAUAUGGAGGUUCCCAGGCUAGGGGUUGAAUCGGAGCUGGAGCCACCAGCCUAUGCCAGAGCCACAGCAACGCGGGAUCCGAGCCGCGUCUGCAACCUACACCACAGCUCACGGCAACGCCGGAUCGUUAACCCACUGAGCAAGGGCAGGGACCGAACCCGCAACCUCAUGGUUCCUAGUCGGAUUCGUUAACCACUGCGCCACGACGGGAACUCCAGCAACAAACAGCCUUUUGAAGAGAGAAAAAGGCUUUAUUUCUGGAUAGCCAAGCAAAGGAAAUAGGAGGCAAUGCUCAGAUCUGUCUCCUCAGUUUACUCGUGCGGAUAUUUAUUGUUUAAGUGGGGAGGCGGAGAAGGCUAGGAAAUUGUUGGUGGCAAGUAAUGCUAAGUUUCCAAAGUUUUCUGCCCACGUGUGACUAUUUUUCAUGCCUCUUCAUGGAUCACAUGUGUAAAUUUGGGGUGUAGAGGUUGGAUGUGUUAAAUGUGGUGGAUUUUCAGCCUGUGACAUUUAAGUUCAUUAUUAGUUAUACUAAUUCUUCAAUGUGCCUUGGAGAUGUGCAGCAGAAGGGGCUGUCAGCAGGUUAUUUCCAUUUUGCUUUUUUCCUGGUACCCUACAAAAUGAGUUUGGUGGGUGGUGUCUUGGUGCAUCAUUUUGUUUCUCUUUGUUUCUAUCUUAUGGUCUUGAGUAUGUACUAUAUAAGAUAGGGUUUCACAAAAGUCUACAAAUGUAAUUCUGAAUCCAAAAUUCCUUCACCAAGGAGUUCCCAAUGUGGUGCAGUGGGGUGAGGUGCAUCUCUGGAGCACUGGGAUGCAGGUUAAAUCUCCAACUGGGCACAACGGGUUAAGGAUCCACCGUUGCCAGAAAUGGAUUUUCAACAGUACUUAUUUCACCACUUCAGAUUUCAGAAGUCCUUCUCCCCCAAAAUAUAUUUGAAAUAUUUGGUUUAUCUAGGUUUUAAGAAGCACAUUUACUGGCACACUGGCUGAUAAACAGCUUGAAAAUAGUUUUAUCUGAUCACACUGUGAUAUCAAUUGAUGUCUUAAAGUGUUGUGGAUAAGUUGCCCUGGAUGAGCUUCUGGUUAGUUAUCAGAUCUAUAGUUCUUGAAUUGCCAAAUAUCUAUUUGUACCAGAAGAUGAGAAUGCCGUUUAUUUACAAGAAACAUUUGAAAUGAGAAUUUAUUUAGUUCCAAAGUCUUUAAUUCUAGUUCUUAAUAUGAAUGAUAAAUGAAUACAUUGAUUUAAAAUAAGCAAAUAUGCAUCACUGUUUGUAGUUUUUGCACUGAGUUAGCUUGUUAAUUUUGAGCCUUUAAAUAAAAAUGAUAGAUUUCUUAAAAGUGUGACUGACUUCAGUAAUUCUAUUUAGGGCUUUAAUCCCUUUGUUUUUUCAUUACUAUAUUUUUGCUUGAUAAAUGUUAAAAUUCAAAUUACUAUGUGAAAUAACCAUGUUAGAAUGAUAACACUGUGGAGUUAUUAAAUCUGUAAAGCUGUUGGGGAUGUAUGGUGAGAAAGGCGAGUCAUCAUUAUGUGAACUGAUUCUUUGUUUAAUUCCUCAAAAUAUCUUUAGAAAGCAUGAUCCCAGUAUAGCUCACCAGUUUAGAGUGUGUCUUAUUUUAAAUAAUGAUGUAUGAUAUACUUGUUUUCCACUCUAUUCAAACAUUUGUUUAUUUGGUAUGGAACUCAAGAAAACAUUAAUCUCUGGGGAAUGGUAGAAAUAUAGCCAGUAGGCUAUAUUUUACUCAUAAACAUGUCAGUACAAUAAUCUCCAGGGUAUUUGGAAAAUUUGAUAUGAUACCAUUAAUAAUCUGUAACAUUUUAGUCAUCAAAUGCAGGGAUUCUAUGUAUUGAUUGAGAAGUGAUCUAUAAUAAAACUUUUCAACAUUUGAGUUUCACAAUAAUGGCACCUGAACACUAGAUUAUUAAAUCACAUUGAAGUCUCUUUUUCUUUUCCUGUAAAUGAGGUCACUUCUUUGGAAAUGAACUUUUACCUUUAAUAGCCUCUUCUGGCUGUGUGAACUUGGACAACUUGCAGAAUCAUAAAAUCUCAGGGAUAAAAGCACUAUUAAAGGUUAUAUUUUCCAGUUAUUCACAAAAUUCAUUGAUCUUCUCUUUAUUCAGCAUUCCAACAGAGUAGUCAUUCUACUUCUGUUUAAAUAUUUUCAAGGAACAGGGAACUCAGUACAACCCAAUGAACUCAAAGUGAUAUCAGUCAGUUUUAAGAAUUCUGUCUUUGUUCACUUUGUUCAUUUGAGUCAGCUUCCUCACAGUGAAAAUGGAGAUAACAAUAGCUGUCUAUUUCAUAGAACUGUUAAGAAUAAAAUGUUAUGCAUUUAGAAAAUACAGUGUACAUAGCUAAGCUGGGAUAUACUUGUGUUUUCCCAUUCAGUGUAGUAAACUGUGUAUAAUUAUUCACAAAUAUUUGCUUCUAUUCUCUGGGGAAAAAUUAUACUUCAUUGUCCAUUGAUAUUAAACUCAAGUGAUUUGCAUAGGCCUAUGGAAUAAGAAUCUAAGUAACGUGUCACUUUUGAGGAAAAUUUUGAGAGUCAGAACAUGGUCCUGUGUUCUCUUUCUUUUCUGUAUCAGUGAAGACAAAGUCUGCUUUGACCAACUAGAUCCCGGAAUGAAGAUAAUAUAGAACCGAGCUCUAGGGCUCAGAUGCAACUGUCACAUAAUUCAUUGAGAAUUUUCUUAAUUAUAGCCAAACAUAACCUUGCCUAUCUUCUUUGAUACAAACUUUCCCCUUGCUUUUCAUAUUAUAUUCUUACAUACUUCUUACUAUUAUAAAGAGACCCUUUUUUUCCUCGCUGGCCCCAUAUGAACUUGAAUAUGAAUAGACAGGAAAGUAUACUUUUUUGGGUUGUACUUAGAAGAUUUCAGUGACAUUACUGAUUAGGUAUUUAUUGCAUAAAUUGAGACCCUUUUUCUCUAUGUAAUGAUGAUUUAUGACAGAAUUUUUAUGAAAAUUCAUUUGGACUUAUAGUACUUUUUCUCUAACAGAAGAGGCAUAGAUAAAGCAAACCUUCAGGUUUGUGUGAUAAAUGUAAUUUAUGAUCCCAAGCUGAGAGAGCAGAAUUUAGCACAGUGGAGUUAAAUAAAAUCCAUGAAAUAAAUUAGAAACAAUUGAAAAUGUUGAUUCUUCUAAAAUGAUGAGAAUGUUUAAAAUUCACUACAUUUCUGCAAACCCAAAUGUAAGUGUAGUAGAGCUUCUUUUAGAGAGUGAAGGAUCAGUUUGGCUAGUCUAAGAUUUUGUGUGCUUGCAUGUAUGUGUGUGUGUGUGUGUGUGUGUGUACCUAAAUAACUCCAAAAUGUUUUUUCUCCUACAGACUUUGUUAGGAAGAAAUUGUCUUAGGUCAUCCCCUCUGUUUCUCUGAAAAUACCUUAAGCUAUGCUUAUGUGAUUUUUUUUUUCCCCAUUUCAUAAUGGCCUUCAUAUACAGUGUUAUUUGGAUAAAAAUAUUAGGGCCUACUGUACUUUCUCUCUGUUUUGUCAUUGAUCUAUUACUAACAUUUUAAACAGGGUCAGUUAUUUAGUAGUUGCUCAGAAUAUUUGUUGAAUAAGUACAUUUGUCGACUGAAAAAAAAUACAACUUGAAAGUUAAGAGUUAAGUUUUAUUUGGGGUGAAAUUAGGACUUAAGCCUGGGAGACAGCAUUUCAAACACACAAAAUUUUAUAGAGAAGAUUAGUGGUUACUAGAAAUUUUGGGGGGUGGGUGAAAUAGCCGAGGGGGUUGAAUUAUACACUGACUGGUGGUUAAGUAGAAUUUUGGUGAUGAUCACGUUGUAAUGAAUACAGUUAUCCAAUCAUAAUGUUGUAUAACUGAAACAUAUAUUUAUAGACAACUUACCUCAAUAAAAACCUAAUAAAAUUAAAACUAAAGAAUAAACAAUACUAUCAACAACCAAAACAAUACUAAAUGAGGUCCUAAGGAUGGGGAUGGGAUCCCUUAGGAUUAGUGUCCUUAUAAAAAGAGACACCAGUGAGCUCCCUUUCUGAAGGUUCAGGCACUGAAAGGUCAUGUGAGGAUUUAGCAAGAAGGUACUGUCUACAAGCCAUGAAGACAGCCCUAACUGCCCAACCUCCCAAGGAAAAAAUGGUCCUAGUUCUCAGGUCAGUGUAGCGCAGUGUUUAAGACAGAAGCUCACUCAUUUCCAGCUUUAGAGCAUGCCAGUGUUCUGCCCUAAAACCUGUUUCAUAGUUUGCAGAAAGCAGUAUCUUUAGUAAGACAAUUAUUCACCUGUGAACAGGAGAUUUUAUUUCAUGUAUUUGAAAAGCUGCCAAGAUUUGACAUUUUAUAUUUGUCCAGCAUUUGAGAAGUUAUUAUUUUGGAAUUUGUGGGAGAGAGAAUGCUAUAAAAGUUCAAUCUCAUAUGAAAUUGUUUGAAAUUACCUUUCAGUUGGCUGAAUAAAUAGAUUAUUGAUUUCACCCUUCUAUAAAAUAAAAAGGUUAAUGAACAAAAUCACACAGCAUUCAUUUCUAGAAGAUAUAUGUAUGGAUUAUAACCUUCCCUUGCAAAAAGACUUAGUAUUUAUAUACCAAAUUCAUGAGCUGUGAUGAUAUUAUGAUAGGGAAUGAGUGGUGCCAUGUCUUUAGCUUUACAAUCCUGCCAGUUUAUAAUGAUUGCUCUUUUGCAUUGUAGGUGGGUAUUAUUUAAUAUGGAGGACCUCUUACAGUGCAGGCUAGUGGAGAGA